rnacentral:miRNA from 1 species
CAAAGGACGAGUGUACCGUGU